CUGGAAGCAGGGUCUGAUAUUGCUCUAGGUUAACUGUGCAGACCUAGAGAGGACAGACUAGAAGCCAGACAUGACAUCAUGAUACACUGAAUGUAAUAAGGAUUUCAUUGGUAUUAAUAUUAGACAAUAAUGCCCAAGAGCAGCUGGUAAUUAGACAGGACAGCUGCUGAUGCCAGCCAUUAGUAAUGUUGAUCUAUUUGCUCUAAAAAAGAAAAAAAAAGUAUUGCAGAUGUUUCCCUGUCAACUUUGUUUUGGUUCUAAUAGACUCAAUAGCUCUUCUCUUCCACUGAAGGUAAAAAGUUCAACCCCUGCAUAAUAGACUUAGAUUGUUUGACUUGCCACAGGAUGUUCUUAUUUCUUUUUGUGUUUAGCCUAGGGCUGUAAAUCACAAACACCAGCCUGCGUAAUUCUGACUUUUAUUACGUUAAUGUAUUUUAAGAGCAGGAAAUCUAUAGGCUCUUGGCUCAGCUCAGCAAAAGCAAAGCACGGUGGGGACUCUGUCGUCAGGAGCAUUCUCAGAAAUGUGCCUCCUGCUGCAAAGGUGACCUCAGGAUAAACUUUGCUUAGCUUUCGGUCAGGGGAAGGAAGGAGCUCCCCACUUCUUAGCUCAGGUGGCAGCUGGGCCUCCUCUAGGAGGAGGAACUCAUUUUGUGAGAGUAGUGAGGGAGGGAAGAGUGGAAGAGCUGGUGGUACUGGCACUGGAGCUUCAGUGCUGAGUCCAGCUUGCAGAUGCAGGAUCCUGUUUGCUCAUCAUUGCAGAGCAGCAGUGGCAUAGCCAAGGGAGCAGCUGAGAGCCCCUGACUCAUAAACCUGGUGCUGUUUCCACUUGGGUCCAGGUGGCAGCACAUAAACUCUGCCCAGUCUCUUCAGGGAAAAAACAGAUCACCUAAGUGCAGACAUUGAUAGCCUGGCUCAGUGGUGUGCCCCUGAUCAUCUCCUGAGCUGCUUCUUUUCAGAUCACACCUCUCAUCUGGGGCAGAUCUUUUCUCCUCCUUGUGUCCUGACAUCAUCAUAGGCAGCAAAGUCUGCAUUAAAGACAUGAACUAAUGACACAGGCACUGCACUCUAAGAGGUGGUUCCUUCAUGGGCAAUCCACAUUGAGGUGAUGCACAGCAGGGAAGGGAGCUGGCUCCAGCACCCAUCAGGAACUGCUGAAAGGUACUCUUGCUCCUGGGUUGUCAACACAAGAUUUAGUGUGAGUUCCUGAAAGUGUCUUAACAGGCAUAGAAAGCACUGAUUCCCUCAAGUCUGCAGAAACAUGAUGCACAGCAACCAUUAGCACUGGCUUACAUUGCAGAACAAAUUCUGUGGCAGGAUGAGCCAGGUGCUAUGAUAGCUAUGAAAUAGCUAUGAAAUAGCCAUGAUGCUAUUUCAUCUGAGUGAGAGAGGGAAUGAAUUUGGGUCCUGGGGGAGCAUAGAAAGUGGAUGUUAUGCAACUCCUGAAAGAAUCAAGAGCUGUGGCUGUAGCAACUGCCAAUAAAUAUACUCAAGUACUACUCUGCUGGGAAUAUCUACAUGAGGCAUGAAGUGUGCUUACACCAAAUUACCUGAGGACCGCAUGAUGUCAGUCACAAGGAAAACAAUGCUGUGGGUCUUGUAGAUGGUCCUCAGCCUUGCUAUGACAAGAAGGUGCUGAGUGUUUGAAUGGCUCCCAUCCACUGUGAUUGCAUGAAGACAGGUGGGUCUCUGGCCAUGCCUACUCUCAACCUGCAUGGCAUGUUGUCUGACACUGGUAAGGAGUGUCUCAAAUCUACAUGAGGCAAUCAACAUCAUUUUGUGGACAAUUUUACAUUUGAAAGCAUCUCUCUGGAGCUGUUUGUCUUCAAAACAGAGAGCCCAGGAGUGUUUAUUGCCUGUAGGCUUGGCCUGGGAGAAAAUGAAACCAGCUUGAUACUGGAGACUGGGAAAUGAUACCAUUGUAUCCUGUGAAGGCAAGAUGCAAGCUGGCAUCUCCCUGCUUCCUCUCAUCUGUAACUCCAGAAGAACUGUCUUGGCCUCUUUGGACUGUAAGUAAGAGUUUGUACCUUUGUCACUAGCUGUCAUAGAAUGAACAACACAACCUCUGACAAUUGAGUGGGACAAAACACAUGUCUUGGGAGCUGUUGCUUGGAGAAAAUAAAGCAACUUUUUUUCUUUUCAGGGAACAGUAUCCCACUAGGACUUCCCAAAACACAAAUUAGUUUCGUCGUGCUGUAGUAUUUGCUCUUCAGUAUUACUAUCAGUCAGAAAAAUGCCAGGGUUCCUGUCACAUUGCUUUGUCACACUCACACUCAUAGUUUAAAUUGCUGUGAUAGAGAAUCAGGAGAAAGAGAGUCAUACUGAAUAUGACUUCUUCUAGUAUGAUCUUUAGGUUUACAUUAGAUAUGUUAUGUUGUAUUUGUAAUUAGACAACUCAAUCCAAGCAACUUUCACGUCAUUUUUCUUCAAAUGAUUCGUUAGCUGAAAAAUGAGGCUCCAUUCAGGCAAAGCUCUGUUGUGAAUUUGGGUCAAAUUUGGAAAAAAAAUGAGGAUUAUUCCAAAGCCUAAAGCUGUUUCUCGUAUAUUUUUUUUUCUUCCAGAAAAUGUUUCAAUGCUUUCAGCUCAGAGCAGCAUUUGGAGACCAAGUUUUUCUUCUGGUAAAACAUAAACUACAGCACAGAAAUAGAAGUAAAACAUUUGUUUGCUCAGCUCUAGUAACUUGGUGCCGAGGCAUGCCCGCAGGUAUGCUUGUACUGUAAUUGCUGCAGCUGUUAUUCUGAAUUGAAUACUUUUCCUUGCUUGCUCCUCUUCCUCUUCAUGCACUGUAGUUUUAUAAAGCUCAAGUUGCUGAUGAUGUGCUGCACAGGAUGGUUUUGAUGUGUUGUCUGGGCAAGACUAUCUUUGACAGCUACCUUUUACUCGCUGGGAGAAACAGGUCUAGGACGUGAUUCCUGCUCCCUCUUGCUACUCUCUAAGUGUUGUUGCAGGUGAAAAGGAAACAUGCCUCGUACAUAAAGUCACUAAUUUAUUAGUAGCAUAAUAGAAAUCUCAAGUCUAAUCCAAGAAUUAUUAUUGAUGCAGAUCUGGUUAUAGAAAGAGGAGGAAUACUAUGAAGAAAAGUCUCGGUAAUAACAUGGUUCAGGUUGUUAUGUGUUUAACAUCCUAGUUUCUACACCUUUUUUUUGUGCAAUGCUUACACUUCCAGUGGGCCCAUGUAACAUCAAAAUUUACUGUUAAUAUUGCCUUUUGUUUGUGCUAGCUACUAUGUCUCUAUUCUCUUCAUUAUAAAACUGGUUUUGUCCAGCUCCAGCCUUGCAUUUCUUUAAAUGAACACUGGUGGGUUGUUUAUAACCAUGGGAUCACCAAUGCCAGCCUGCGCUACUUCUGUUACCAUCCUAGGUCUGUGCUGCUCCUCACCAUGUCCUGUGGCUCUGCCUCACAAGGUUCUCUAUAAUGUAUCAUUAUGUUAGAUUAAUAAAUAUCCCAUUCUUUAUAUAAUCACUGCUUGUUACUGCGGUCUAUAUAAAGUCAUGGUUGCAGCCUGUAAAGAUAAACAAAAGUAUAGUAAGCUAUCUAUAGCCUCCUUGUAAUCUGAAAAAAAAACUGCUAUUACAGAUGAACCAAGUAAAAUAAGCUGCAGGUGGGUCAUGAGAAGACCAGGCAUAGCCAGCCUGGAGAGCCUCUGUUGAGGCCUUGCAAGCUUGGUACAGAGUUUGUGGCUUGUUCCUAGCACUGGCAAUACUGAUUUCUUGUGCUCUCAUGAGCUUCCUUAUUUGUUUUGAUGAUGCUUCUGAGUUGCUCUGAUCUAAUGGCACUUGCCCUUUCCUGGUUCAGUAUUUCUUUCACAUUUUUUUUCUGUUACGUGGGGUCUGCAGGAUAAAUACCACUGGGUGGGAGAUGGGUAGGGAAAGGAGGAAGGUGAGCAAAGGAGAAUCAGUCUACCCCAGCAGUGGGAUGAGGAUCAUCAUCUCCACUUCUCAGCACAAACAGAUUUUACUAAACUUCCUGUAAGUUUGUCAAGAGUGGUCUUUGACCUUCUGCUUGUCCUGGCCAUCGUAGAGGGUAGGAGCUCAACAAAAUCUCUCUCCUCUGCUUCCUGACUACUCAAGGCAUCCUUCCUGGAAAGAAUGAAUCACUCCCCAAGUGUCAUAGGAAAGACCAUAAGCUUUCCUUAAAGCUAAAGAAAUUCCAGUGUAAUUUCUCAGCUCCAGUGUGGGUCACUCCCUGGCACACCAGGGGCUUUCUUCAUGAACAGAAACCACUCUGCAUAAAUUGCCAUGGCAGAAAUGGGCCCGAGCAAACAAAGACAAUAUGAAUUUGGCUAAAUAAUGUAGAGACAUAAAUUUAAGGACAAAGGUGAACUGAAAAGCCUCCCAAUCAGAGGUUGUCUGCACCUGCCCAUGCCAGCUCCAAAGGGGACUCUGCACCAAGGUGUCUUGCCCUUGGUCAGCUUUUCAGCUACACCCAACGAAAGCCUGUACUUCUGGAGCAUACCAGAGCAUCCCCACUUGCAGCUCCUUACCAAGUGAUAUGUGCAGAUCCCACCUUUGCCAAAUCCACUGCAAAUGUUUCCUGUUGAGACCCAGAGUCUCUCUUGGAGGCCCUGGGCCAGCUCUGGGGUCCACCUCACUGAUUGAACUCAGUGGGGUCACCCUGAGGACCAGCAGAUGGUAUCUGGCUUUUAGCUUCCUUCCAAUCUACCGUUGUCACAACUUGAAAACAAGCUAAAAACUGCUUUUCAUAAUUUCUUUCUUAGGCAAAACUCUUAGCAACAACCUUUUUGUGUGUUAGAAGGCAAUAAUCAAAUCACUCUGGCCUUUUGCUGAAGCAGAACAAAUCCAUGGCUGUGUUCCCAGCUGUAAACAAAGGUAAGCAGAUGUGGGACUGUGGUCAUCUCCUUCCCAGCAGGAGGGAUUAUCAGCACAACUCCAUAAAUAAUGAAAAUGUAAAUGGGGCAUAAAAUUCAUUUUUAGAAGAAGCUGGAGGCACUUUGUGUGCCACUUCUGAAGUUUUGGUGGAGAGUUCUCCCUGUCUCACCUUAUAAAAGUUGAGUGAUUUUCUUCUUGGUGAAUAUUUAAUAACUUUCAUGUGCUUACCUGAUCCCCUCUCCUCCUCCCCUCCUUCCUUCCUUUUGUAUUCUUUUCAGUGUUGUGCUUGCUUACUUCUUAAAAUGAUGAGUUCUUUUACCAUCCACCCCUACUUUCCAUGUCUAACUAUCUUUCCCCUUCUUUCUUCUUCCUCUCUCCUAUUCAGACUGUUUUGUAUCCUGCAGGAUCUCUCAGCUGCACACUGGCGCCUUCCCCAGAUCCUAUUGCAGCCUUUGGGCAUCACCUCUUGUGCUUGGUUAUGAGUUUUCAGAAGCAGUGUCAGAGUAGCUGUCAGGAGGGAUGCUGAAAAUAUUAGAAAUUCAUGGAAACUACUGUUGUAUUCUCAGUUCGGGUCUCAUCACUGAGCAUAGAAGAUGGUGUGUAUUACUAUUCUCUAUGUACAUCUUCAUUAUCGUUGCCAUCUGCAGAUAAUUUUAGAGACUUAUUCUGUUCUUGAGAGGAAAAAAAAAGAAAAGCAGAACAAUCCACUCUGCUGCAAGGCUGCUAGUCCUGACAUAGUGUUGAUGGUGGUAGAUUUCAUAUCAAAACAGCAUCUGCCUUGCAAACAAGGAGCAGCUGGGCACUGGGUGCACCCAGGAGGAGAUGGAGCUUCCCCUGGCACGGGUUCCCUCCCUGCAAGUUGUGGGGCCACUCCAGAGAUGGCCCUGGGGGAUGGGCUUUCCUCAUCUGCACAAACACUCUGCCUAUUCCUUUUCUGGGAUGAGGAAGCUGCUGAGCACCUAUUCUUGAUCCUUAUGUGAACAUCAUGUCACAUGAGGGAUGCUCCUACCACAGGUGGCAUGUAUACAGCAGUGGAUUUUGGUUUUUUUUUUUUUACAUACGGGACUAGGGAGCUCCUGGUGACUGUAGAUAGACCCCAGAAGAUCUCAGGCUCAUCUCCAUGAGGAACCUCUGCUGGAAGGUUGGUAAGGGGUUAACGUGUUUUUGAGUCUUUGAGUGACUUUUAAGGCUUCAUUCAGUGAUUCUGACAGUGUGAAGUCCUAGCGUUUUGGGGAGGGGAAAGUAUAACUGCACAGCAAACUUGGUAGAAGUGUCUGGAGCUGCUGCUGAAUUCAUUGAAACCAGUUGGGUUUUGGCAUUUAUUGAGGAAGGUAGAAGUAACAAAACGAGUGUAUGGCUCUCUUUAAAUGAGCCAUGUAAUGAGACUUCCUCUUACCCAUGAGUGGCAUGAGCUUUCAGAAGAGUCACCGCUUGGAAGAACUGUUUGGAAAUCCCAUGAUGCAUGAGCUCUGCUUUGUGAAAGGUUGGCAGCUAGCAUGGGAUUUUGCAGAGGCUGCUUCCAGACAUCCAGGAGGCAAGUUCUUGUCAGAGGGCACAGGUUUGCACUGGCACAGCACUCUGUCUUGGCCACAAGCAGUGUCCCUGGCAACUGGCUGCUCCCAAGAGCAUGCCCUGUCACUGGGCAUUGUAACCCAUGGGACAAAGAGCAUCAGUGCCAUGUUACUGUGAGAGCACUCAGGACUGUGGUAAUCCUGUCCCCUGAGAAAUCAGGUUGACGUUUCUCAUGGUUCAAACUGGGGAGAAAAGUGGUGACUAUUUCUGUGGAAUGUAAAUUAAAGAAAGAUAUGUUUGGAAAUACUGCUGAGUCCUGAUCAUCUCAGGGUUGCUUCAUCUUUUUUUUCCCUUUUUUUUUUCUUUGUCUUUGUAGGCAUGUCAGAAUAUUGAAUAGCAUGAAGUUUUAUAAAAUAGAUAUGCAAAAUUUUAAAACAUGGCAGCAAGCAGAAAUUUAGGCCAAUAAUAUGAUAAAGAUAAAAUGAUGCAUUUAAAUAUUAUUCAAAUGAAGUGAAGUAGCUAGAACCUCUCUGCCCAAUUUCUUCUCUGUCAAACUUGUUAGGCACUAACGUGUUCCUAUGAACAUAUUUUCAUUUUGACCAAAAAGGCUUUUUUUUUUUUUCUAUUUUAUCCAUCAGAGAUUGUCUUGUUGAUAAAUUUUAUAUGGUUCUACUUCUGCAUCUGUGACACAUCAUGUUCUACAUCAUAUCCUCCCAAAAGCUGAUGAGGAUACCGCCUCUGCAGGAGACAGUCCCUUUUUCUGAGUGAACAGUAGGGCUUUUCCUCAAGAGUGGGGUUGGGAGAAAAAAACUGCUUUGAUCCAAUCCAGAACGACAACAUCCUGUUGUCCUUCUGUUGAAACGAAAAACAUUAUAAAUUGGAAGCAAAAAAAAAAAAAUUGCUCUACUCAAAUCAUUUAACUUUAUUUCUGUUCUGAGCAUCCGUUGGCCAAAGUGAGACAAUUGCAGCAAAUGCUGGGUUUAGGCACAUCUCACAGGUUUCUGUGAAUUGUGGUAGCCAUUUAGCACAUACAGAUGAACAUUAAGACACCUCCUUUGGUGCCUGCAGCACUCAUUGCUGGGAGCCCUUGGAGAACCCAGUUUAACCUUGUCUUUCAUUGGGCGGCAUUUACAUCCACGUGCCCCUGGAGACUUCCCUAAUGCCAUGAAUUGGGCAGUAUCCUGGGAUGGAAAAAUGCCAUUUCUCACAUUGAUGGUUUCCAGUAGCUAUAAAGCACUCCAAUGUUUAUUGGAACAAAGGCUGGAACAUAAGGGUUUCUCCUCUGAGCCCAGUGCCCUCAACAGAUGACGACUGAACUGGCUCAUCAAAUGUUUUAGUCUUUGUGGAAAUUAUAUCAAUUCCAUCAGGAGAAAAUGAGGAAAAUUUACCUCUGAGUGCCCAGAACCAAGCUGGUAAUAUUACUGCCCAAAAAGCUCUGGGAGUCCUGGUUACAGUCAUCUCCUCUAGUCUGGCAGACCUGACUCCAGGUUUGAUGUCAUCCAGGCAUCUUUGAUUUCUUUUUUGUGCUCACAGGGGAAUAGAGAGAAGGAUGGCAAGGGGGUCCCCAGUGUGUUCAUGGGAGAAGCAGCAGAUUUAAAAUAUAUUUGCAAUAGUAGCGAACAAAAAUGUUUGCUCUACAUGCAAUCCCCAGCAGUUUCUCCUGCCCUUGGAGGCAGACGGAGUGAAACUCUCGGUGUUGUCUCCUGGUCUUUGCCUCCUUCCCUGUUUUUGCACUGGCUAAUGCCCAGAUGAGUCAACCUCUGCAGUCACGUUAAGUAACAUGAUGUGGAGGUCUGUAGAACAGGAUUUGGUGUCAAGGAGGGAAACAGGGAGUGCUGAUUUAAGGUCCCUGCAGCUCUCAUCUCACGUCAUGAAAGAGAAAGCAGAGAACAGAGUUGCAACUCAGGGACACAGAGCCAUGUGGUGCAUGUGCUGAAGGAGAGCUGCUUGCUGAAACAAAUCUCCUGGUUAAUGACUAGCACCAGGAGUUACAUCUGAAGUUACCAGUUGGCAGUGCUCGGCACACAUUGAUAAAACUCCAGGGAGGUGGCUUGUCUUGCCUGAUGCCAUUUUUUAGGUCAUGUAAUACAAGAUCUGGGAACAGAGGGGGAAAUAAUUUGUCUGUAUUAAUAAAAGCUUACAGAGCUCUGUGGAUUUACAUGCCUCUUUGCAAACUUAGAUGUGUUUCUUACCUCAGGGAGUUUAUAUCUCCAAACCUUUCACAGGAAGCCCACUGAAUAAAUUCAGUUAGUUAUUUGGACAGGAUCAGUGGUGAGAUGAGAGUCAUCUAGCUCUGACUUUAGAAGUGAAUUGGAAGUCAACACCUGCAUGAGGUAAAUUUGAAGCAUUAUGCAAACUUACUUGUUUAAGCUCCUGACUAAGAAGCUUUUUUGUUUGCUUCCUUAUUUUUGUCAUGAUUUCCUCUUUGUACCAGAAACAUGCAAAAUGGUGCUGCUUUCUGCAGCUGGCCCCUGCUGUGCCUGACCAGUAGGGCUGCAAGUAGGCAGACAUCUGCUAAGCGCCAUGACACAUGAUUGCUGGAGCUGAGCAGCAAGGAGGAGCCCAGGCAGACCAUCCACUAUAGCAGAACUGAAUUUUUGCCAUCCUCAAGAAUCUGGAAAAGCAAAGACCCGGCACUGACUGUGCUUAAGGCAGUGACUUUGUAGUCUUUGUCAGGGUGCUGCCUGAGGCUAGCUUCUGCUUGGGUUACACCAAAGGGAGGAAGGUCUGCAUGAGUUCUUUAGGGACCUCUAAUGAAUAUUAAGGGCUUUAGCAAUAUGAAACUUGCUUGAUUUUUGGGUCUGAGUGAAGUGUUGCUAUGCUGUGGUGAACCUGAACUUUGCUUCCUUGGUCCAAAGGCCUUUCCACGCCUUAAAAUAGAAAGAAGGGAGUUGUGUUCAGUUAAGUGAAAGGCACAUUACCUUGGACCCAUCUUUGUAACAAGCUGCUCCCGAAUUGCAGUUCCAAUCAGAUCCAGAGACUAAAGUUGUAGCUGGAGCCCAUUGACAUCAUUAAUGGAAGUGUUUCAUUUAAAGCAGCAAGGAGCUGGCUGGCUGUAGUUGUGAGAAGCACCUCUUGCUGUUAGCAGGCAUUGGUCCUGCUGCGAAGGGGUUAAAUGAAUUCUGCCGGCCCUGGGGAAUGGGGAACUCAUUAUUUUCUUGGAGCAGGGAGGGGAGAGGGGAGGAAAGCUGAAGCCAGAGACAGAGAAAAGCCUUACAAUGAGGCCUCCCAGCUGCCCUUGGUAUAGGGUGCAGGACAAAGGGCUAGGAGGGCUGGGGCAGGCUCCAAGCUGGGCACGCACUGGCAAGUGGGCCCUGGCCAUUCAUGGCUGGCAUGGGGGCUAUGUGCCCAGAGGUGAUGCUGGACAGGUGGUUUGAGUUCAGUUAGCUGAACCUGUUGUCUGCACUUUUGCUGAGUUCUGUGGGAGCACUGGCUGAACCAGCGCCUGCUCAGCCAGCACACUCUGUUGCCUGACCUGCAUGGCCAUGUUGCUCACGUCAGCUGUGGGGUGACUCAGUCAGGGGUGGCAGUGAGAGCUCCAGUCUUGUCUUCUGCUGGGCUGACCCUUGACCUGAGCUUGAAUGGAAAGUGCUUCAUUAAUUUGGACUUCUUUUUUCUCCUAAAAAUUCUGUCACUUUAAAAGAUUUCAUUUCACUAGGAUUCAUAGAAAUCAAGAGGUACAGCUUCCUAACAUCCUUUAUUUUCUGACUUAAUGGCUUUUAGAGCUGCAUUACAGCCAAAAAGAAAGAGGAUGAGAGAAAAGUGUUAAUGUAGGAGCAAAGAAGGUCACUGGGAAACCUGGCUGCACAUUCAGAGAGAGAUUUUCCUGUGUCCAGGGAGUCUAGAGCCAAUGGUGAGUAGAGCAAGUUGCCUGUAGCUGUUGCUUGUAUGUUUGGGAGAAGCAGAGCCUGAUUUCUGGGCCAUAUGGUGAGAGCUCCAGCUUGUUGAGCAUCUCUUUGGAGCAGGCUGUCUACCUGGGCACAUGCUACUUAGUGAAUUUUCCCCUUUAAGCUCAGUGAGCAUUAGCUCCCUGCCCUACAGAUACCCUUCCAUGUGCCUGGGAUGCUGACUGGGGUGGAGCCCCAGUGGGCACCAGAUGAUGACCUCUGAACUUGCACUGAUGGCUGUGUCCAUCACUGACGUUUUUCUUGGAACUCAUGGAAUCAUAGAAUGGCUUGGUUUGGAAGGGACAUCAAAGACCAUUCAGUUUCAACCCCCUGCCAUGGGCAGGGCGUCCACCCACCAGCUCAGGCUGCCCAGAGCCCCAUUCAACAUGGCCUUGAACAUCUCCACUGGUAGGGCAUCCACAGUUCUGGGUAGCCCAUUCCAGCACUUCACCUCCCUCUCAGUGAAAAACUUUCCCUUGACAUCUAAUCUAAAUCUCCCUGCCUUUAGUUUGAAAGCAUCCCCCCUUGUCCUAUCACUAUCUACCUGUGUAAAAAGUUGAUUUCACUCCUUUUGUAACCUCUGGAUGUGUGAGAGCAAAGAGAUUCUCUGAAACAACUCAAGAGGCUUCCUGUGGGCCUUGGUCUCUCUUGCACAACGCUCUUGUGGUAACAAGGGUACCAUUGCUAUGUGGUCAAAAAGUAUACUCGGGGAAGCAUUUAUCGCUCUUUGACUGUUCAGUAUUUGGUCCCUAGGAGAUACAAUUGAUAUACAGUGUGCUGUAUAUUUUAUUAGGUGAAAAAGUACCCACUGAGGCAUAGUAUCAUUUCCAAAGUUGACCUUGUGACAGCGGGCAAUGGCAGUGCACAUAAAAAUGAUAAAAGCCUUGCUAAAAUCUCUGGCUGCACAGGUUGAGGAGAGAGCUUGAAAACUGUUGAUAGAUGGGUUAGAUUCACAGAUAGACACAGGCUCAGAGGUAAAUUUUUUAAAAAGGGAAAUAUGGGUAAGAAAUGAAUCCGGACGAGCACAGAGAAAAUCAAGAGAAAGGCAAAUGCGGCAGAAGACUGGAGAAAGCUUUGUUUUCUUACUGAGAAAGCACACUUCAUGAGGAAUUAUGGCCAGACUGAGGUGUUGGCAUGCUGGUUUGAGCUGCAGAGGAGAAUGGGGAUGUAAACUACUAAAUAAAUGACAACAUGGAUCUCUCUGUUGCUGCAAAGUUCUCUCUGUGUCUUCACUUUACUUGGUUAUUUGUGGUUUGUGUUUGUAGUGAGUUUUCUAGCAACACAGUUAAAUUGUCACAUUGAUUUUUCUUUCUCACAUUUUUUUAGGCAAGAGUAUAGGUUUUUUUUGUUUUUGUUUCGUUGGUUUUUUGUUGUUGUUGUUUUUGUUUGUUUGUUUGUUUUUUAUUACUUAGAAAACUGUGAUCUUUAACAACCCAUUUGGUUUAGUAUUCCAUGGUACACAAGAGAUGCCCAAGCCAGAACUUGGAAACAAAACCUCUUCAAGUGCAGAGAUGUUGGGAGUCUGCACCUGAAUUUGCCAUUCAGGAUCAUUUCUAGUACCCAACAUAGAAAUAAAAUGUUGAAUAUUGGCUACUAGGGAGUAUAUAUAUAUCCCAGCUCAAGACAAGGAAUACCAUAAAUUGAUGAAAUCAGUGAUUGAUGUGAACAUCACUGAUGUAACAGAACUGUUUGUUUUUUGAGCUGUCAUUGCUGUGGGAGUACAAAAAUAAUACUUUCUGUGCAGCACUGUUUGUUUUUUCCUGCCCUACUCUGUCAAGACAGAGAUAUUAAAGGUGAUCAACUGAGAAAGGAGCUUGAAGCAGUCAAAAGAAGAGAACACAGAUUAAUGUUUCUGCUCAGAAGCUGGGGCUGAAGGGGGUGAGAUGUGUCUGUGACAAAACAUUGCCUUCAGUCACUCACCAUUAACAAAUGGGUUUGCUGACCAGAGUGUGUGAUUUCUCACCAGGGAGGUGUGGCUCAGGCAGGAAACUGAUGACUAAGAAUGUGAUAGCCUAAUUUCCAUGAGUUGUCUUUAGAGAUAUUGGGAUCUGCUAACUGCUUGGGAAACACAAGUUUAACCUUUACUUCCUCAGUCUGUGUAAUGUCCCUUAGAGAGUGGAGAUAGUAGCAGGAGAGAGGUGAUCCUCACUGAAUGUGGUUGUUUAUUAUCAGCUUUUGUUACCUUUCCACAUCUAGCUGUUCUCUACUAUGUCAUUGCUGGCAAUGAUAAGAUUCCUACACAGUCUUGGUUACCUUUCCAUACUCUAGUGGACUCUUGCUAAUCUAAAACGUAGUAUCUAUGCAUUGUCAGUUAUGCUGUGCUGCUCAUCACAUCUCCCCGUGGCUGUGCUAUGUGCUUGUUCAUCCCAGCUCUAGAAACUUCAUCUUGCAUUAUGUUCCUGCCUCAUUUUUUUACUUAUUUGCUCUGGGGAGUUGGAUAGCCAUACCCUCUUAUAAACAUGGGGAGUUUGCCAAUGUGUAGGACAUAUGCCAGUGUUUAGGAUCAACCUUGAUAUUGUCCUCUGCCACUAUGAAGCACAUGAUCUGAGGCCCCUCUGGGGAUCGCUAACUUUUGUGAGCAGUAAAAUGAUGAUGCAAAAGGGUGCAAGUGUGAAGGGUGGGAGGAUGGCAAUGGUGAGCAGAGAGAUUGCUGCUGCAGAAACUCAGGCCUUCCAGCCCUGCCGGCCAGGAGGCUGUUCCAGCUGCAGUGCAUGAAGUGGGAAUAAUGUUGGGUUUCUGCUGGCCAGGGAAAGGGAGGGGAAAAGUCUGGGAAUGGCAUAGCAGUCAGUCCCAGUUUGUCAGGAUAGCUAGAGUAAUGAUAUGAACAUAUGAAUAUUUACUUCCAACUAUUUAUAGAGCCAUGCUUUAGAUGUUCUUUAUUGUUAUUUUAGUAGAAUUAAUGCUUAGAGGAUAUUCUCAAUGAAAAAUGUUCCCUAUGAGUGAGUCAAAUCAAAUAAAUACAUAUUCUCCUCACUAUAAAAUAGCGAAAGCACAUUGCAUUCCCCUGCUAGGAUGACAUCAUUUCCAUGCAGGUACUGGCAAAAUAUCUCCAGUACAUACAGUGCUUUGAAAUGAAAAUUACUAUAAUAUAAGGUAUUUGAGUGCAACACAAAAAUGACUGUGAAGGCAGAAAAGAAACAUCUACGUUUGGACUUUUCUACUUCAACUUUGGAAUUACCUGGUUUAUACACAUCUAUACGAGUCAAAGCUGGUUCAAUGUAAUUAACAUUUCCACGCAUGUAUGCCAGAAAGAAAAUAAGAAAAUUAGAAAAUAAGAAUUUACAAUACUGAAAUGAAAGACAUCCCUUAAGAAAACAUAGGUUCAUUACUUGGUAUGGUUGGAAAUAAUUAACUGUUCAUUUAAUUAAAUGAAGUUAAAUGAAUACUCAUUAUGGAUAUGGAAAAGUGUUAGAUGAUCUAUUUGGAAGUCACAAUGAUACUGAUGAUUUUUUUCCCAUUUUGAAAACAAGGAAAAUGCUAGAAAGUGACAAAUAUCAUGGGAUAUCUUAACAUUUACAAGACCAAACAGCUCACGCUCAGUUUAGAGAAGUUAGGAAAGAUUAAACCAAGCAGAGCACAUCUUGAUUGUGAGCAAACUGUGAAGGACAUCUAAGAGGAGACUGUGUAUGUGUGUGCAUGUGAUGAUACCAUUUUUACUGUAGUAGCUUUGAAACCUCUAGCAAAGGAAGGCUGGUUUGCCUAGCAUCCUAUUUCAUCUUAAAGAAAAAAAAAAGAAAAAGAAAAGAGAAAUAGGAACAUAACUACUGCCUCUCAACAUUGUUCUGUGAAGAAGGUGUUUUGUGAAAUGUACUGGUUUUUGAAAGCAUUUCAUUGCAUUUUGAUAGCAUUUGGUUUCUGAUUGUAACCAUUCACAUGACAUACUUCUCUAGAGUAUUGGACUUGAUGCCAUGAAAGAUUCUCAUUAAAGGUUAGCAGUGUAUAAACUGAAUGUAGAACAUAUUAAAUGGCUUAAAACUGGCUCACCAAUAAAUCUCAUGUAGUAAUUGCAAACAAGGAAUCAUCUUGCAAAAGAAGUGCAUUCAGCAAGGACCCUCCAGGGAUUUCCUGGCUCAAGUCCUUCCAUGAUUUUCUGUCUUUCAGAAGAACAUAUAAAAUCACUGCUAAUAAAGUUUGUGGAUGACAUAAAGGUGAGAAAAAAAAAAAAAAUAAGGACAGCUUAGUCCUGCAGGCUGAACAGAAUUGGCCUUUUCUGAUCAAAGCCUCUUUUGAUGCAGCCAGAUUCAUGGUCAUACACCCAGAAGAGGAGAAUUUAGGUCACACUUAGAUAAUUUAGGGGCUGCUUCCCGGUAGGCAGCAACCAUGAAGAAGGCACAUGGGUGGAUAACUCAUGGAUCACAGGGCCUUGGUGGGUUUUUCUCACUGAAAGGCUGACAGCUGUUUUUGUGAAUGUCUUCAGAAGUUUCUGGGACCUGCUCCAUAUAUCUAGCACCAUGUGCCAGAGAUGUGAGACGGUCUGUGGAAGCCUGUGACCAAUGUCACUGGGAAAACUCUGACGAAACAGGUAUUGUUUGCAAAGACAAAAGUGGACGACCAGCUUAAAACUUGAAUUAGACCUGGUUAUUGUUUUUCCUUUUUUUUAGUUCAUAUGUUUGUUCUGGAUAUGUAAUGUAACACUUGUGCAGAGGAGGGGGGAUGGAAACAAAUCCGUUCUUGACAUUGCGUGAUCUUAUAUUGUUCAGCAGUAGAUAAACACAAUCUCCAUCUCUAAUACUAACUAAGCCUGCAUGACUCUACGUACCAUUUUUUCCUUCUGUCUGUGAGCUCUGUUUGUAAUACCUGCUUUCCCCCUCUUUCCCGUGACUGUUCCCAACCCCAGUGUCUAGCUGCUGCACACAAAUCCAAAGCCUUGAGACAAACUGGCAGGAACUUCAAAGUCUGUCACAACCUGCUGUAGUCACAGGAUGGUGAGAGGAUGCUAAAACCAGCAGAGCAGUUGAGAUCUCCAUGGAUAUAGCUGUCUUCUGAGCACUGUGGCUGAGCAGUGGAAAUUGCACGGUGACCAUCCCUACUUCACUUUUAUUAGAUAUAAUCUGAGCACAGUCUAGAAAUUGUUCAGCUAGAGUUGAGUGUCCUUACAACUUACAGGUGUGUGGUGCUGCCUGGACAAGGAGAGGUCUGGUAUAGCAGCAGUGUAUCUGGUGAUAUUAAAUAAGAUUGUUUAAUAAAAGUAUAAUAAAAAAUGGUCCAGGUAUAAGAUAGGGUAGCGGUUCUGUUUUUACUGUCUCAUGAGGUAAGAAUGAUGAGAAUAAGAGAGGGGAAUUCAGCACUGAAAAAAAACAACUUUUUUUUUUCUCUGCCUCCCUAUAAUUAAACUGUGGAACAGAUUGCUACAGGUUGAUACUGCUGUAAUUUCUUGAGAAUGCAUGUUUGAAUUAUAUUGUGUUAGCUUCUGUAGUUAAUGCUCUGUUCUCCUGGUGUCCUUAUGUCUACGUAAUUGGGGAUAUUCAGAGUGCUUGCACUGACUGUUGUUGAAAAUGUUAUGAAAGGACAGAUUUCUUACGCUUCCUGCUUCAUAGCUUGGCCUAAUCUCCAGCCACUGGAGGGGCAGGAGGUGGCUGAGAAGAAAGCUUCUGUGAGGUAAGGUGCAGGCCAUGGCCAGGGCAUGGCAUUGGGCCACUGGACUUUGGUUCUAGAGCAGCAUCCUCAUUUCUAAGUUCUGGAUGUCCAAUCAGGCUCCCCUGGCCAUUUUCUGUGUCUUUGUGUGGCGGAAAGUAGCACAGUGUUUUUGAUUUCAACACUGUGCCACUGAUUUAUACCAUAUUUUGCCUAGUCAUAAGUGUAUUGACAUGGUGACUAUCCCUGUUUAUUCCUGUUCCAUCAGUCAAAUGUAUUAGUUCAUUUUCCUGAGAUCCUGGGGCAGUUUGCACUGAGCAUAUCUUUAAUCUUUGCUGUCUUAAAAAUAAAAUAUUCUUCACCCGAUAUUCAGGAAAAUGUAUUUUUUGUUGUUGUUGUUGUUUCUUCUUUUUUUCUUUUCCUUCCACUGGAGAUCGAAUAGGCGUCCUGUGAGCAGCAAGGCAGUGAAUUUUGCUCUUGCUGAGUGAGUUUUAUUCUUCAGGUGCUCACUUGCAAUUUGCAAGCACUUCUGAAAUAUCUUCUGGGAUGUGAGCUCUCCCUCCUCUGGAAGGCAUUCCUUUGAUUCCUUGUAUUGUGCAAAUGUUCUUGCAGGUGGCAAGCAUGCUGAAGAUAACUCUUUUGAUCCUUCAGAAUCAGCAUCCUCUUGUAAUCUUGUUUUCCAGCUUUGUAAAUAUUACCCACACACCUACAACUUAUUGUUGCUUUCACAUCUUCACUUUUACUACUUCAUUUCAAAUAGCGCCUUCCCCCCGGGUCUCUCCAGGUGCUGCCUCACAUUUCCCCAAGAAAAGAAGCGACUUCUACGAACGAUCACUAGAUGGCUACACUACCGCACAGGAUUUCAUAGCUCCGUUUUUCCAGACCUUCAAACCAUUUUUCACGGCCCUCGUUGUCUGUAAUAUCUUUGGUCUGAAUUGCAUUUCAGCCACAAAAUGCGAUUUCCAUAUCUUCAAUUUUCUUCUCAGCGUGUUGCAAUAUAAUUCUCCACCAUUCAAAUUUAUUGUACAAAAAAAGUCACUAGGGCUUAAAUGGCGUCUAACCUCUGAAGCGUCAGGUAUUGUCCGCCACUGGAAACAACAUCCUGGGCUACAUGCCCCAUUGGUUUGAUCCAAUAGAGCAGCUCCUGUCUUUCUGGAGUCUCUGCAGAAAGUGUUUGGAUUAAAUUGGGCACAACCUGGCUUGUCUAUUUACCUGGCUCUGGCUGAGCAGCUCUGAAAGCUCCGAGAUGGGAGGCAGGUGUCAGGCUAUGAUCCAAACCUUUGCUGGUCAUCUGGGCUGGCUUUAUGGCGCUCAGAGGGAAUUUCUGAAGGAAGAAAGAAUCUGUCUCUUUAUUUGUUGCAAACUACAGCAAACUUCAGGAACAAAAGUGGCAAAUAUCAGAGCUACAUGCCUUCGCUUUUUUGUUUCUGUCUCUCAUUCAAGUCAAAGAUGGAUGUAAAUGUUAAACUAUCCAACAGAAAUAGUGUCUCAGAAUAGUUGGCAGGAGGUACCUAAAAAAGGCACACUGGAAUCGAUUUUUGUCAUGUAUGCUGUGUUUGGAUGCAUGCAGGGGAGAAACAUAUUCCCCAUCCACCAAAGGUCACCGUUUGUGCCCUUACACAAAUCCUCCUACGUUCUAGGAGCAGUUACAAUCAUGACAUUUAUGUAAUAUCACCGGGUGUUUAUAGCUGCCUAGUCUGAAUGUGAAACUGGGUAUAAAUAAUAUGAUCAUCAUCUUCUGUGAGCUGGGGAAAUGUUAUCCAUGCUUUACAGAUGAGAGGACUGAGGUGAAUGGUCGGAGUGUGGGAUAUGGGAUGCUGAGGACCCAGCCUCAGGCAUGGGAGCACUUCAUAGGGAGAGUUAGGGGAUGAAAAGUGUUGUGGGUGAAAGAAAUCACGUGGAGAAGGAGUAAGGGAUGGGGUGUGCAGUGGCACCGUCCCGAGGGGAAGGUGAUGGCAUAUUUUCAUGUCAGCUGGGCACUGGCAGUUCUGGAGAAGUGUGUGGAAGGAAGGACUGACCUGAAGUCUGUCAGUGUAUUAUCAGUGGGCAUCAGGAGGCAAGGCAUCAGGAAAGGACAACUAGCAUCGUGCGGACACAUGCGCACCACAUUGUGUACAGCUAAUGAAGCCAACCUGCACAGUUUGUCUGUGAAUCCCCCGCUGGAAAUAAAGCUCCCCAUUUGGCAAGCAUUCGACCCACCAUAAAAAAAAAAAGGAAAAUUGAAAAAUCAAAAUCCCUCCCUAAGUGCAGAUGAGCUCUGAACUGUGGAUUCAAAAGGAGCAUCCCAGCUAUUUGCUCCAGGCAGGCUGGAGCCAGGAACAAGCUUUCCUUGGCUCUGAAAGAGAUUUCAGCUGUCCUAGAGGCAAGACGAUUUGGAAGAACAGUUUCAAGCUGGCAAGGGCUUGAUGUGCUCACAGAGCUUCAGAAAACAAUUAAAAAUGGUGUAAUUGUAUCAGAUAUACAGAUGUGUGCAUGAGAGUUCCUAGGAGGCGUCGCGAGCUUACCUGCCAGGCAAAAAUGGUAUUAAUUUCAG
ensembl:lncRNA